rnacentral:rRNA from 1 species
GAUGAACGCUGGCGGCGUGCUUAACACAUGCAAGUCGAACGGACAAGAUGAAACCUAGUGAUUCUUGUUAGUGGCGGACGGGUGAGUAACGCGUGGGCAACCUGCCUCAUACAGGGGGAUAACACUUAGAAAUAGGUGCUAAUACCGCAUAAGCGCACAGUACCACAUGGUACCGUGUGAAAAACUCCGGUGGUAUGAGAUGGACCCGCGUCUGAUUAGCUAGUUGGCAGGGUAACGGCCUACCAAGGCGACGAUCAGUAGCCGACCUGAGAGGGUGAUCGGCCACAUUGGGACUGAGACACGGCCCAG